rnacentral:rRNA from 1 species
UACGUAGGGGGCAAGCGUUGUCCGGAUUUAUUGGGCGUAAAGAGCGUGUAGGCGGCCAGACAGGUCCGUUGUGAAAACUGGAGGCUUAACCUUCAGACGUCGGUGGAAACCGUCUGGCUAGAGUCCGGAAGAGGAGAGUGGAAUUCCUGGUGUAGCGGUGAAAUGCGCAGAUAUCAGGAAGAACACCCGUGGCUAAGGCGGCUCUCUAGUACGGUACUGACGCUGAGACGCGAAAGCGUGGGGAGCGAACAGG